GGUCUAGAUGAGUCGCUUAAUGAAAGUGAAGAGCCUCCCCCACCAUAUGACGUCACAUUACAAGACCAAAACGUCUUUUGUAAUUUUCUACUCGUGGCUACAAAUCCAGACCCAAGUGAGGAGCCACCCCCAUCAUAUGAAGACGCACUACAAGACGAACACUUACAGUUAGCAGUCUCUGAAAGGGCGUCUUCUGUCGUGGGAGCAGGAAAUGGAAUUCGC